UCGAACGAUGAAACCGCCCUCGGGCGGACAUGAAGUGGCGAACGGGUGAGUAACACGUGACCAACCUGCCCCUUGCUCCGGGACAACCUUGGGAAACCGAGGCUAAUACCGGAUACUCCUCGCCCCCCUCCCUGGGGGCCCGGGAAAGCCCAGACGGCAAGGGAUGGGGUCGCGGCCCAUUAGGUAGUAGGCGGGGUAACGGCCCACCUAGCCCGCGAUGGGUAGCCGGGUUGAGAGACCGACCGGCCACAUUGGGACUGAGAUACGGCCCAGACUCCUACGGGAGGCAGCAUG
rnacentral:rRNA from 1 species